rnacentral:rRNA from 1 species
UACGUAGGGGGCAAGCGUUGUCCGGAUUUAUUGGGCGUAAAGAGCGUGUAGGCGGCCAGACAGGUCCGUUGUGAAAACUCGAGGCUCAACCUCGAGAUGUCGAUGGAAACCGUCUGGCUAGAGUCCGGAAGAGGAGUGUGGAAUUCCUGGUGUAGCGGUGAAAUGCGCAGAUAUCAGGAGGAACACCGGUGGCGAAGGCGGAUCUCUGGGCCUUACCUGACGCUCAGGUGCGAAAGCUAGGGGAGCGAACAGG